rnacentral:rRNA from 1 species
AUACGUAGGGGGCGAGCGUUGUCCGGAAUUAUUGGGCGUAAAGGGUACGUAGGCGGUUUUUUAAGUCUGGUGUGAAAUUGGUGGGCUCAACCCACCCAAGCAUUGGAAACUGGAAAACUUGAGUCAUGGAGAGGAAAGUGGAAUUCCUAGUGUAGCGGUGAAAUGCGUAGAUAUUAGGAGGAAUACCGGUGGCGAAGGCGACUUUCUGGACAUGUACUGACGCUGAGGUACGAAGGCGUGGGGAGCAAACAGGAUUAGAUACCCUGGUAGUCCACGCCGUAAACGAUGAGUGCUAGGUGUUGGGGGUCAAACCUCGGUGCCGCAGUUAACACAUUAAGCACUCCGCCUGGGGAGUACGUGCGCAAGCAUGAAACUCAAAGGAAUUGACGGGG